GACGAACGCUGGCGGCGUGCUUAACACAUGCAAGUCGAACGGAAAGGCCCUGCUUUUGUGGGGUGCUCGAGUGGCGAACGGGUGAGUAACACGUGAGUAACCUGCCCUUGACUUUGGGAUAACUUCAGGAAACUGGGGCUAAUACCGGAUAGGAGCUCCUGCUGCAUGGUGGGGGUUGGAAAGUUUCGGCGGUUGGGGAUGGACUCGCGGCUUAUCAGCUUGUUGGUGGGGUAGUGGCUUACCAAGGCUUUGACGGGUAGCCGGCCUGAGAGGGUGACCGGCCACACUGGGACUGAGAUACGGCCCAGACUCCUACGGGAGGCAGCAGUGGGGAGUAUUGCACAAUGGGCGGAAGCCUGAUGCAGCAACGCCGCGUGCGGGAUGACGGCCUUCGGGUUGUAAACCGCUUUCGCCUGUGACGAAGCGUGAGUGACGGUAAUGGGUGAAGAAGCACCGGCUAACUACGUG
rnacentral:rRNA from 1 species